rnacentral:rRNA from 1 species
AAGACGAGAAGACCCCAUGGAGCUUUAAACCCAAUUAUAUCUCUAACCACUAUAACCAUUUAACCACUUAGAACUUAUAUACUUGGUUUUAGGUUGGGGCGACCACGGAGCACAACCAAACCUCCACGAUGAACGGAACAACCCCCUUAUCUGAGAAUUACACUUCUAAGAAUUAGCACACUAACAUAAAAUGACCCAUUAUUGAUCAACGAACCAAGUUACCCUGGGGAUAACAGCGCAAUCCAUUUUAAGAGCCCCUAUCGACAAAU